rnacentral:lncRNA from 10 species
AUGGCUGCUUUUGCCUUUGCUGGUGCAGUGAGAGCAGCUUCAGGAAUCCGAUGGCUCUUGAAUAUUUUGGCAUCUUCAGCAUACAGAAACUGUGUCAAGAAUGCCUCUCUUAUUUCUGCAUUGUCCACUGGACGUUUCAGUCAUAUUUAGACACCAGUUGUUUCCUCCACUUCCAGACUUAACCACAUCUGAGAGAAACCUGACAUGUGGGCAUACUUCAGCGAUCCUUAAUAGAGUGUCCCCCUUGCUUCCGAGUGUCCUGAAGCUGCCAGUCAGAUCUCUAACAUACUUCAGUACAUGAAAAGACAAGAGAAAGACUGUGAAAGCUGUCAUCUACAGGUUUCUUCGACUUCAUUGUGGCCUUUGGGUGAGGUGAAAGGCUGGUUAAAAGAAAAAAAUUAUGGAAAAAGGAACCUGCAAGAAAAAAGCGAUUGAGGGAAUUUGUAUUCUGCAAUAAAACCCAGAGUAAACUCUUAAGAUAAAAUGGCGACGUCAUUCUGGGAGAGGUAAA